GCAUAUCAAUAAGCGGAGGAAAAGAAACCAACAGGGAUUGCCCUAGUAACGGCGAGUGAAGCGGCAACAGCUCAAAUUUGAAAUCUGGCUCUCUUUGGGGGUCCGAGUUGUAAUUUGCAGAGGAUGCUUUGGUAUUGUCGGCGGUCUAAGUUCCUUGGAACAGGACAUCACAGAGGGUGAGAAUCCCGUACGUGGUCGCCUGCCUUUACCGUGUAAAGCUCCUUCGACGAGUCGAGUUGUUUGGGAAUGCAGCUCUAAAUGGGAGGUAAAUUUCUUCUAAAGCUAAAUACCGGCCAGAGACCGAUAGCGCACAAGUAGAGUGAUCGAAAGAUGAAAAGUACUUUGGAAAGAGAGUCAAAAAGCACGUGAAAUUGUUGAAAGGGAAGCGCUUGCAGCCAGACUUGCCCGCAGUUGCUCACCUAGGCUUUUGCCUGGGGCAUUCUUCUGCGGGCAGGCCAGCAUCAGUUUGGGCGGUUGGAUAAAGGCCUCUGUCACGUAUCUCCCUUCGGGGUGACCUUAUAGGGGAGGCGUAAUGCAACCAGCCCGGACUGAGGUCCGCGCAUCUGCUAGGAUGCUGGCGUAAUGGCUGUAAGCGGCCCGUCUUGAAACACGGACCAAGGAGUCUAACAUCUAUGCGAGUGUUUGGGUGUCAAGCCCGAGCGCGUAAUGAAAGUGAACGGAGGUGGGAACCUUUUAGGUGCACCAUCGACCGAUCCUGAUGUCUUCGGAUGGAUUUGAGUAAGAGCAUAGCUGUUGGGACCCGAAAGAUGGUGAACUAUGCUUGAAUAGGGUGAAGCCAGAGGAAACUCUGGUGGAGGCUCGCAGCGGUUCUGACGUGCAAAUCGAUCGUCAAAUUUGGGCAUAGGGGCGAAAGACUAAUCGAACCAUCUAGUAGCUGGUUCCUGCCGA
rnacentral:rRNA from 1 species